rnacentral:pre_miRNA from 1 species
AGGUAAAAAACCCACUUCUUCAGAUUUUAUAUAUAUAUAUAUAUAUAUAUAAAAUCUGAAGAAGUGGGUUUUUUACCU